GUGCUCACUUCAGCAGCACAUAUACUAAAAUUGGAAUGAUACAGAGAUUAGCAUGGCCCCUGCACAAGGAUGACAUGCAAAUUCAUGGAAGUGUUCCAUUUUUUU
ensembl:snRNA U6 U6 spliceosomal RNA